AUUUCUAUUAUCUUUCUGUGCUUACAGCUGUUAACAUUUGGGACUCCUGUUCCUGUUAAGACUAAUUUGAAGUCUCUGAAAAAACAUGGGCUUUGUAGUGUUCAGUUUUCUAGCUUAAAAGAAAAUUUCCUCAGAGCCAAGGGUGUUUCGAUGUAAUUUUCACUUCAUUCUGGAAAACUAAGAAUAAAUAAAAAUCCAAAUCUAUAACCGAUGCCCACCCACCUCAAGAAAGCAAUCAACCUCAGUCUCUGAAAUUUCAAAGGGAAACAGCUGAAAAAUGCCACUUAAAUCAUUGUUAAUUAGGCAUUUAGCAGUUCCUAAAGCAAGCUAUAAGUUGGCCUUCAGCACCAGUAUUUUUAAAGAAAGGGCCAUUUUAAUUGGCAUAUUCUUGUGUAGCAUUUUAUAUCAGAUGGUAAAAUUUUAGAAUUUAGAUCAUAUUAAAGUGUACCAGGCUAAGAAUAUGAUUUCUUCUGUCUUCUAACUAGCUAAAUGAUGGCAUGUAACUGGAGAUAUCUGUAUGGGUCUCUGGAUGAAAAGAGAAACUGUCCUACUAUCUAUGCCUUGCUUUCAUGUUUGGGGGCCCUGGAGCUGCCACUUCUAUCAUGGAGGCCCUGUAGAGCCUCACUACUCACAGCAUGGCCCAGGGGCCCCUGGUAUCAGCCUCACCUAGGAGCUUGUUAGAUGAGUAGAACCAUGAAAUCACCCCACAUCUCCUGAAUCAACAUCAUCCUAUUAGCAAGAUUCCCCAGUUAAUUUGUAUACAGUUUAAUUAGUUUGAGAAGCACUGCUAGACAAAACACCCAAUAAAUCAGACCAACCAAAUAUAUUACACCCUCCCUCUAUGGCUCCCCACAGGAUAAGCAGUAUUUCUUUUAAAGGAAUUGAUUCUUGCAGUAGUGUUUGUAAAGGGACUUAAAAUACGAAGUUGUUGCAUGUGCCUUAAUGUUAAAAUGCACGUGUUCAAUCAAAUUGACAUAAAGGAAAAUUUACAAAGAGUGACACUUCUCAUUUUUUUCCGAGCGAGCGAGAGAGAGCAAGUGAGGGUACUCAGCAAACCCUUGGUAUUUUGGUCAAUGGUGUUCUUAAAUGUUUUAGAGCUUCUUCCUGACACCAGCCAUUCAACAAACUAUUCAUGGCACCUACUGUGUUCCAGGCACUUCACUGGGAAUGGAGGAAAAGCAAUCUCUGCACCAAUAAUCAUAAAAACAUAACUGUCCAGAGAUUAGAGACAGCAUCUAAUUUUGCCUGAGGGUGCCAGGAAGGCUUAACAGUAGAAUGGGCAUUUCGAACUGGAUCUUGCUGGAUAAUCUUUCCCAGGAGGAAAGAACACAUCAAAUACCGGUAAGAAUGUAGAUAAAUAUACAAAGAUAGAUGGACACGUUAGUAACUGUGUUUGUGAUCUUGGCAGUAGGGAGCUGCUGGGGGACUUUAAUCAGUGUGACCUGAUAAGAUUGUGUUUGGGAAAGAUAAUUCUGGUAUUUAGAGGAAAGGGCGGGGGGAGGGAUCCACAAAUGCAUUGUCACAACCGUGUGAGUGGUAGAAGAUGAGCUUGAAGGAAGGAAGUGAAUAUGGCAAUAGUAGUGGGAGGACAGUUCAGAGAGAUGUUAGAAGUGAAAUUGACAGGGUUAGGGACAGAGCAAAGAGGAUAGGGAGAGUAAGAGGACAAGAUAGACU